GAUGAACGCUGGCGGCGUGCCUAAUACAUGCAAGUCGAGCGAACAGAUGAGGAGCUUGCUCCUCUGACGUUAGCGGCGGACGGGGGAGUAACACGUGGAUAACCUACCUAUAAGACUGGGAUAACUUCGGGAAACCGGAGCUAAUACCGGAUAAUAUAUUGAACCGCAUGGUUCAAUAGUGAAAGACGGUUUUGCUGUAACUUAUAGAUGGAUCCGCGCCGCAUUAGCUAGUUGGUAAGGUAACGGCUUACCAAGGCAACGAUGCGUAGCCGACCUGAGAGGGUGAUCGGCCACACUGGAACUGAGACACGGUCCAGACUCCUACGGGAGGCAGCAGUAGGGAAUCUUCCGCAAUGGGCGAAAGCCUGACGGAGCAACGCCGCGUGAGUGAUGAAGGUCUUCGGAUCGUAAAACUCUGUUAUUAGGGAAGAACAAAUGUGUAAGUAACUAUGCACGUCUUGACGGUACCUAAUCAGAAAGCCACGGCUAACUACGUG
rnacentral:rRNA from 1 species